AUUGAACGCUGGCGGCAGGCCUAACACAUGCAAGUCGAGCGAGCGGCGGACGGGUGAGUAAUGUCAGGGAAACUGCCUGAUGGAGGGGGAUAACUACUGGAAACGGUAGCUAAUACCGCAUACACUCAGAUCUGCCCAGAUUGGGUUUGCUAGUCUGUGGGGUAACGGCUCACCCAGUCGACGAUCCCUAGCUGGUCUGAGGGGAUUACCAGCCACACUGGCACUGAGACACGGUCCAGACUCCUACGGGAGGCAGCAGUGGGGAAUAUUGCACAAUGGGCGCAAGCCUGAUGCAGCCCUGCCGCGUGUGUGAAGAAGGCCUUCGGGUUGUAAAGCACUUUCAGCUGGGAGGCGUUACCCGCAGAAGAAGCACCGGCUAACUCCGUGCCAGCAGCCGCGGUAAUAC
rnacentral:rRNA from 1 species